UAAAUACUUAAAAUUUAAGAGAUUUGGCGGCAAUUAAUCUUGUUAGAGGAACUUGUUUUUUAAUCGAUAAACCCCGUUAUAUUUUACUUUUUUUUGUAAAUAACAGCUUGUAUACCAUCAUUAUCAGGAAAUUUUAAAAAAAAAAAUUUCUUUACUUAGUUUUUUAUAAAAAUUAGAUCAAGGUGCAGCUAAUAGAAAAGUUAAAAUGAGUUACAAUAAUUUUUAUUAUAUGGAGUACUAGUUUAAAAACUAAUAUAAAAGAGGAUUUAAUUGUAGUUUAGAAUUUAAUAANACUAANCGAAAUUGGCUCUAAAUUGUGUACAUAUCGCCCGUCGCUUUCAUUGUGUGGUGAAAUAAGUCGUAACAUAGUAGAUGUACUGGAAAGUGUAUCUAGAAUUAAU
rnacentral:rRNA from 1 species